rnacentral:lncRNA from 1 species
GCAUAAUCAUCACCUCCAUAUUCAUCAUGAGCAUUGUUUGCACUUUUUCUAUCUCUUUUCUUAGCCUUGUAAAAAUUUCGAAUAAAGUGACCUGAUUUUCCACAAAUAAAGCAAGUUCUCACACUGCCACAUUGAUUGAGAUGACUCCUCUUGCCUUGCCUUGAAAAGAGAGCCGAAUCCUCACUUUGGGGCUCUUUUUCUUUUCUCUUGAUCACUUCAUGGGCAAGUCUUGCCAUCACAUAAUCCAUUGUGAAUUCUUUUACUUU